UCCUACGGGAGGCAGCAGUAGGGAAUCUUCCGCAAUGGACGAAAGUCUGACGGAGCGACACAGCGUGUAGGACGAAGGCCUUUUGGUCGUAAACUACUGUUAUUUGGGAAGAAAAAUUUCGAUAGGAAAUGAUCGGAACUUGACGGUACCAUUUCAGAAAGCACUGGCAAACUAUGUGCCAGCAGCCGCGGUAAUGCAUAGAGUGCAAGCGUUAUCCGGAAUUAUUGGGCGUAAAGGGUUCGUAGGUGGUUUAUUAAGUCUGAAGUUAAAGCCUGGGGCUCAACCCCAGUUCGCUUUGGAUACUGAUAGACUAGAGUUAUAAAGAGGUUAGUGGAACUCCAUGUGAAGUGGUGGAAUACGUAGAUAUAUGGAAGAACACCAAUGGCGAAGGCAACUAACUGGUUAUAUACUGACACUGAGGAACGAAAGCGUGGGGAGCAAACAGGAUUAGAUACCCUGGUAGUCC
rnacentral:rRNA from 1 species